AUUUGCUUACAGAGAAGAUGCUCCAAGACCCCGACGCACCCUCCAGUCUCCUCUGCAUAACUACCGUGCUGCUGACGCGAUGAAGAUUGAACAGCAACACAAAACUGUGACAAAAAUCGGAACCAAAAGAGAGGAAAAGAUCAUUAAUCCAUCAAUCAUAGGAGACUCAAAAUAA